rnacentral:rRNA from 1 species
CCUACGGGUGGCAGCAGUGAGGAAUAUUGGUCAAUGGACGAGAGUCUGAACCAGCCAAGUAGCGUGAAGGAUGACUGCCCUAUGGGUUGUAAACUUCUUUUAUAUGGGAAUAAAAUGUUCCACGUGUGGGAUUUUGUAUGUACCAUAUGAAUAAGGAUCGGCUAACUCCGUGCCAGCAGCCGCGGUAAUACGGAGGAUCCGAGCGUUAUCCGGAUUUAUUGGGUUUAAAGGGAGCGUAGGUGGAUUGUUAAGUCAGUUGUGAAAGUUUGCGGCUCAACCGUAAAAUUGCAGUUGAAACUGGCAGUCUUGAGUACAGUAGAGGUGGGCAGAAUUCGUGGUGUAGCGGUGAAAUGCUUAGAUAUCACGAAGAACUCCGAUUGCGAAGGCAGUUCACUGGACUGCAACUGACACUGAGGCUCGAAAGUGUGGGUAUCAAACAGGAUUAGAUACCCGUGUAGUC